GAUGAACGCUAGCGGCAGGCCUAAUACAUGCAAGUCAAGGGGUAGAGGAAGCUUGCUUUCUUGAGACCGGCGCACGGGUGCGUAACGCGUAUGCAACCUACCUUUAUCAGGGGGAUAGCCCGGAGAAAUCCGGAUUAACACCGCAUAAAAUCACAGAACAGCAUUGUUUCAUGAUCAAAUAUUUAUAGGAUAAAGAUGGGCAUGCGUGCCAUUAGCUAGUUGGCGGGGUAACGGCCCACCAAGGCGACGAUGGCUAGGGGCUCUGAGAGGAGAAUCCCCCACACUGGUACUGAGACACGGACCAGACCCCUACGGGAGGCAGCAGUAAGGAAUAUUGGUCAAUGGGGGCAACCCUGAACCAGCCAUGCCGCGUGCAGGAAGACUGCCCUAUGGGUUGUAAACUGCUUUUGUACGGGAAUAACCACUGGUAUGUAUACCAGCCUGAAUGUACCGUAAGAAUAAGGAUCGGCUAACUCCGUGCCAGCCGCCGCCGUAAAAC
rnacentral:rRNA from 1 species